GCAGGCUGCAACUCGCCNGCAUGAAGUCGGAAUUGCUAGUAAUCGCAGAUCAGCAUGCUGCGGUGAAUACGUUCCCGGGCCUUGUACACACCGCCCGUCACACCAUGGGAGUCGGUAACACCCAAAGUUGGUAGCCUAACCGCAAGGAGGGCGCCGCCUAAGGUGGGAUUGAUGACUGGGGUGAAGUCGUAACAAGGUACC
rnacentral:rRNA from 1 species